CAGAAAGGGGUGCGGGUUGCAAAGGGAGUAGCCUCUGUUUUUUUGUUACUUAAGCAUGGGAAGUUGGAGUUUUCCUUUUGAUUCAUUUCUAGGAAGUCGGUGCAAACUGGCCCUGCCUCCAGACCCUAUUCUCCAGCAUGAAUUGCAUCUCAUCAAUGUCAUUUUCACUUUUGAUGAUGAAGGCUGAUUACCUUGUAGAGAGAGAAGUCAUAGGGAUGUUAUGUCCAUGGAGCGUGGCCUUAAGUGGACCUAUUUCUUGGGGUCUCCAGAUCUGUUUGGAACUUCAAAAUUAUUCAAGAAAAGGUGUCUCAUCAGCAGAAGACUGAACAGUUUUACCUAAUGGUAUCUUGAGUAGAAAUGUAACCUAGAAGAGUUUAUUGAAAAUCCUCCUGGCUGAUGCUUAUUUCUUGGAAUCCUGAGUCUUACACUUGCUACCUAAUAAAAAGAAGGAAGAUUCUUCUCAGCAAGGAAAAGUUCAAAGAAGUGAAAUGUGAUAAAGUUCUUCAUUAUCUCCUUAUUUGUAUGAAGAAAACUUCUCAGGUGCAGUGGCUCAUGCCUGUAAUCCCAGCACUUUGGGAGGCCAAGGCAGACAGAUCACCUGAGGUAAGGAGUUCAAGACCAGCCUGGCCAACAUGGUGAAACCUCGUCUCUACUGAAAAUACAAAAAUUAGCCGGGCAUGAUGGUGCAAGCCUGUAAUCCCAGCUACUUGGGAGACUGAGGCAGGAGAAUCGCUUGAACCUGGGAGAUGGAGGGUGCAGUGAGCCAAGAUGGUGCCAUUGCACUCCAGCCUGGGUGACAGAGCGAGACUCCCAUCUCCAAAAAAAAAGAAAGAAAGAAAAUUUCUCAGUGUUUCCAUUUAUAAAACUAAAAAAUAGAAAUAAAAUUGAUGUUGGCCUCUAUCUUAUUCUAGAAAUAAGUCACACAACACAUGAAACUACUUAAAAAACAAAACAAAAAUUCUGCUCCAUUUAUUUGAUGAGAAGCCACAAAUCCUUAAAAUGUUUUCUCUUUGUGUCAAUUACAUUAUUUAUAAAAUUAUGUUAUAUGUUUAGGUUGUUUUGAUCAAUUGAAUGCCUAUAAGAAGUAAAAUAAUAAGUGUAUCUGAAAGAAAUUUUUAACCUUUAGAGCAGCUCUGUUCAAUAGAAUGUCCUGCAUCAAUACUAACGUUUUCUAUCUGUAUCCACGCAUCAACUACUGACUAGCCACUGUGGCUAUCGGGCUCUUGUGACUAAUAUGGGGAAACUAAGUUUUUAACUUUUUCAUUUUUGUUCAUUUAGAUUUAGAUAGCAACAGGUGCUAGUGGCUACCAUAUUGGGAUAGUGCAGAUUUACAGCCUUAUGAAUACAGAGAAUAAAGCAAAUUUCCAGUUCAUAUGCAUAUUUUUCUUGUAUGUAUACAAAAAAUGUAUGAUAGGGGAAUAAGUAAAAGGUUUAAAGACUACUAUAUUUUUACAUAAAUACCUUAUAUACAUUUAGAUUAAAUCUUGUGUGGUAAUAGGUUGAAAAUCUAGAUUCAAGGGGGAAAAAGAUUUAAAUUUUCCAAAUGUCAGAGUACAUCAUGCUCAUCUAGUAUAUUUUCUAACUGGAUCAUGUGAAUAUUAAAUCUUUAUAGUAUUUAGAUUCUUUGGACACAGUUAAAAGAAUAAUGUAGCAGGCUUUUUUUAAUGUCAAUAUUUAUAAUGUAUAAGGAUUAUAUCCUUAAUGUUCACAUUUCAGUGAUUCCAAGGGACAUAUUUUUCAUUUUAACAUCUGUUAAAUUGGGGUGUAUCUUAUAAAAAUGGUAAGCAUUUAUUUUUUCUUAUCUGUUCAUAAUACUGUGAAAGAAAUAUAUCUUGCAAUCAAUGGACUAUUAGAUUCUAUGGGCUAUGACAUUUAAACUUAAGAUAAAAAUUUUAGAUAUCGACUUGAAAAUGUGUAGGGGUACAUAGUUCCUAAAAAUUCUGCAACUAUGUGAGCAAAAACAUUUGUAGACCAAGGAUGUAGAUCACUUCCUGCUGAAGUUCAGUGUUUUCAUCACAGCUUCUUUGCCUGCACAGAAGAGAGAGUUGCCUAAGCCGGUCGGGAAGGGGUUGGGAAUUGGAGCGUCAUCAUGUAAGAAUGUGGGCAUCUCAAGAGUGUAAGUGCAGAGUGCUCAGCACAGCCUGGUCUCAGGAACUGGAAAAUUCAUCUUCCCAGGACCUCUCAUCAUUUCUUACGGGCCAUAAACUUUCUCCUCUCUGGUUUUCUCUUAUAUCUGUCCCCACUUUCCUGAUUCUCUUAGCAGAAAGCUUUCUCCAUUCAUCCAUCAAGGACCAGAUAAUAGCCUCAGACCUGAGUCUAUGCAACCUUCCAGCUCCACAGCCCACAGCUGGCUGCUCUCAAUUACUCGCUGUUCCCAAACCAAAGAGAGGGUUCUGAUUUUUCCAGCUCAGAUGAGACGUCCACUCCUGAUCUAAACAGUUGGGGCUUGGAUGGAUACACCAUUUAUGUAAUGCAAACAUCGCUGGGGGAGGCGAUUAGUGGGUGGAAGCAGUUCCUGAAGAUGAGAGCUGUGAGUAGGAAGGCAGCCACAAACAUAGCAACGAGGGGCAGCAGUUUCAAUAGCUGACAUCAACAUUGUUCCUACGAUUGCUAGGCACCAUGCUAAUGGCUUCAAAUAGAUUAACUCGUUUAAUCCUCAACACAAACCUAGGAAUGAGGUUUAAUAUCCACAUAUUAGAGAGGAGGAAACUGAGGCACAGAAUGUUUAACUAAUUGCCCAAGGUCAAACAUUUGAUAAGUGUCAGAGCCUGGCUCUGUCAACCUGUCAAGCUAAACUGCCUCAGCAAUUUCCUCUCUUUGUCUAGAGACUUGCUUAUGACAACAGCACUAAGUAUAGAGUAUUCUGUAUCAGUAAAUAGUGCCUAAUAGGGAAAAAUGGUAGCAACCAAAAUUUAUCAUAUGACUAAAAGCCAUAGGAUAUUUUGGAAAUUAGCAGGCAAGGAGAGAGGAACUAUAGCAUUUUUAAUACCUACUUCACUCCUGGCACUUUAUAUGUAUUACAUUUUAUACACACUAUAGUAGAAGUAAGUAUUAAAACCUCAUUUUACUAUUGAAGGAACUGAAGGUCAGAGGAUUGAGUAACUUACCCAUGGUCCCACAGCUAAGAAGCAACAGAGUCAGAGUCCUGACUCAGGGCUGACACCCAGGCCUGCAGAUUUUCCUGUACAUCCCUCUGUCAGAUUAGUGUCAAGUCAAAUAAGGUGACAUGCAAGACAGAGAAUAAUUCAGUCAAUCAUGAAACAAACCAAAAUGAGAGUCAACUUCCUCAAAGCAAAGUCAUUUUUUAAAUUCACUUACAGAUGUGUGCUUGAUUAGUCUGAUUAAAUAUAUAUACUCUCUAUAUCUUUUUGCCUCUACAAGCAUCAAUCUAGCUGUUCCUUAAUUCUGUUACACGUAUUGAAGUUUCUACUGAAACAAGGAAGAGGUUUGUCCAAUUCUUUCCCUAAGACAUGACUGCUGGAUAAAGUUUAUUUUUGCUCUGCCCUUCCUCGUAGCUGGCUCUUUGCCUGUUGAUUUAAAAUGAAUUUUCAGGGGCUCAUAGAACAAGAAGAAUUUUAACUCUUAAAAAUUAACCACAAAGACAGGAACAGAUCUUUUUAAAAUACCUUGUUUAAUAUUGGUACACUGUGAGGGGUUAACAAAUGAGAAGUAGGGUCCUAUUAGUCUCUUAUCAUACUAAGAAACCAUCUUGCCAUACUUAGCUUGGUAGUCAUUGCAGAUAGAAUGUGCCAUCUGUGAAUGGAAUAAGCACAAACCAUUUGAACUACAGGGUACUCCAAAAGCCUUUUUUGAGUUCACUUACAUGUUGUAUUUUUUAUUUGUUCAAUCUUGCAUUCACUCAGCUCAUAAUACACCUGCUCAGCUGUAACUGAGAUGGAGAUAUCUCACCAAUAAAGGCAAGACAGGAAUUCAGAGCACUGGGUUUAAAUGUAAAAUCAAAAAGUAGUGGGGCCCACAUGCGUGAAUGAGCCAGAGGAGAGGUGGCACCUGGCCAGCUGGACUCCCAGUGCAACUGCCUCAGUGGGGAAGCAGCGUGUGCGUGACAGAGUAUACCACGUGCCAGAUGCUAUGCAAGUCUUCACCUGUGUCAUCUCAUUGAGUGUCCCCUUCACAGCAACCCUUUGAGGGAGGACUUCAUAAGCCAUGUGUUCCAGAUGAGGAAACUAAAGCUAAGAGAAGAGGCCUGUUUUCACCUGCACAGCAUUUCUACCUGCCCAUGAAAGGCAGACUUACGCACUUUGAUGUCAAAGACCAACCAGAAAGGUAACUUUAGAGAUGCUCACCCGAACGCCCCCUGUGCACUGCCUCUCUUCAAUGAUCCUGACCUCAUCGUACCUUUUGGGAGUGGCUCUGAGUCUGUGUUUCCACCACUGACUCCUUUGAAGAAGAUCGUCAGCCUUGGGUCUGGAAUGUAGCCCAUUAAUGUUCCCCUUGACCUUUGGUGGAAACGCUGCCAUUUCCUGUCCUGGUUCCUCAUCUUCUCUCAUGUGCCUAAACACUGACCCCAAGUGGGAGAGAAGAUACAGUCAAGUUCUUCGCCUUGACACUGUUCUCUGCAAAGUCAAAGUCACUUUCAGUCUUGAUUUUAACCAGAGCUUAUUUCCUCCCACCAGUGUUGGGAUGAAAGUCAAAGAUGAAGUGAAAGACAGAUUGUGUAACUUUUAUUUUUAAAAGAGUGUUUAAUUUUGGAAGGUAUGAUUAAUAUUUCAAUACUGCUUCUAAUGGCUUCAUUUAUUUUUUUUUCAGCCAAUAAGAAGUGAGAAAUCCUGUCUCCGUAGCCAAAAUCUCAUAUAAUUCCUCCCCAGCAAUACAGAAGUCUCUCUGUUGCUACCUAGAGUAAAAAUGUCAAUACACAUCAUGUAUUAAAAUUCACCUGUAUUUUCUCAACACCUUUUCGAUAUCUUUCCAAAUUGCUUUAGUAAUCUCUGGCAUCAAGAACUGGUAAGAGUAUGUGGCAUUUUCCUUCCUGUUUGAGUAACACCUAUUAAGAGAGGUGGCAAUUAAAAUCAAAUUGUAAUUUUUAAACCUUAAGGGAAGCUAUUGCAGUAUUGCUAAGAACAUUCAGUUACCGGUAUGUUAGCUAACACCUACACCCGCUGCGAUUAGCGAUGAAACAAACUUCUACGGACCUUAAAAAACCAAACGUCUCCUUUAAAAUAAUCAUCCUAUGAGUAAACAGUCCUGUUCACACAUGUAUAUGAGAUGUCAUCCUUUCUUUGCCGUUACAGCGCUCCGCCUUGCCAAUGCUGCUGAGCACUGACUCACUCACAGGGCAUUUGGAAGGUGGGCGAUUUGUUCCUGCAGCAUCAUUGCACUCCAAAUGUGCUGAGAAUGGAUGUAGCCUCCAAUGCUGCCGUGCCAGCAGCAGCUUAGAUCAGAGGGAUCAGCAGAGGCUAUUGUCCAUUCCUCAGCAAUGCACUUGACCUUGAGAGCUAUAUAGAAUGGAAGGAAACCCACUAAAGCCAAAUUCAUGUCCUAAGAUUUAUAUCCUUUUUAGGGAUCCCACCCCUGGAACGUAAUUCAGGUCCAAAUCCUCUUCUUCUCCUUUCCAACUGCCACUGCCUUAGAGUAGUGGACUUAUCUCCACCUGCACAUUUUAGAGUCACUUGGGGCAAGGCAGGGGGCAGACGUUAAAACAUACCAGUGUCAAGGUACCAUCCCAGAGACUCUAAAUUAAUUAGUCUGUGUUGUGCCUGAAAUGAGUACUUUUUAAUACCUCCCUAGGUAUUUCUAAAGUACAGCUAGGACUGGAAACCACUGGAGUCCAGCACAAGCCUUUCUCAUUUCUUUCCUGGUUUAUGGCAAAUGCCUCCUGAAUGCCCUUCAUCUUUUGUGCCUGAGGCUAAUCACCUUUAAUGUGUUAUAAUGAUUGAAUUAUUUUUGUAUUAAUCCAUGUUUGAUGUAGAAAAAUGAGAAAAUAAAAAGCAGAAUGAAAAAAACUACAAUCAGAAAAAUGAUACAAUAUUUUGUCUUUCCUACUGGAUUUUUUAUGUACAUAAAAUAACUAUUUUCAAAAAUGAUAUCCUGCUAUAAUUCUCUGUAACCUUCUAUUCUUUGUUAACAAUAUAUUAUGGGUAAAUUUCCAUGUCAGUAAGUAUAGAUUCAUAUUAUUUUUAAUGGCUACAUAGCGUCUGAGUGGGUGGCAGUGCCUUUGUAUUUUUUAACCAAUCCUUUGUUUCAGGGUUAGGCAUCUACAUUGUUUUGUGGGUUUUUGUUGUUGUUUGUGUUGUUGUGUUUUUUUGUAUUUUGUUUAGCUAUUACAAACAACAUUGAAAUGAGCCAUUUGGAAAAAAAUUUUUUUGUGAGUUGGCCAACUUCCUUAGGAUAUAUUCCUAAAAGUAAAUUUGUUAAAUCAGUAUAUCUAUUAAUUUUUAAGAAUUCUGACAUUUGUUACAAAUUGGUCUUCUAAACCACUCAUAUACAGGUAGUACUUAAGAGUCUGUUCUUCUAGUCCUUCACUAACGCUGGCAUUACUGUAUUCUUUUUAAAUCUUUGUUUAAUCUGGUAAGUAAAGAAUGAUAGCUACCUAUUUUAAUUUGUUUAGAUUACUAGUGAGUUUGAACAUUUUUCAUCUGUUGUUUUUUGGGGGAAACUUUUGAAUAUCUCCUUUUGCAAAUAUCUUAUUUUUGUUCUAUAAGGCAUUUUCUUUUUCUUGUUUGUAUGUAUGAGUCAUUUCUAUAUCAAGGCUAUUGAAUAUCCCCCAAUUUGUCCUUUUUACUUUUUUUAAAACUUUUAUCCUUUUAACUUUAGUGGUUUUGUGGUUUACUUUUAAAUCUUUAUAUAUUCAAAUCUAUCCCUCUUUUCUGUGUGGUUUUAACUUUUCGAUGCCAUAUGUUGAAAGCUUUUCCCCAAGUUAAAAGUAUAUACUUACCUAUGUUUUUUUCUAGUACUUUUAUGGUUUUAUUUUUUAUGUAAUUAAAUCUUUGUGGCUAACUCUUAAAGUACAAAUAUGAUCAUGCCACUCCCUAAGACCUUUGCCGUCUCCCCAUUGUGUAUGUGAUACAGUUCAAGUGUCCUCAUGCCCCACACAUUAUCUGGUCACCCUUUAGCUUGCAUGUCCCUCUCAUCUUUGCUCAUAGAGCUCUUUUUUUCUCUGCAAUACUUUUUUCUCUGCAAUACACUAUGAGUCUUUUUCUCCAUGUAUAAAUAGGCUAUUACUUCAAGUUCCAUGAAAAUAGAGAACAUGACUGCUUUGAUAAUCUCAGCACCCAACAUAGUAUCUGGAAGAAAAUAUAUACUCAAUAUUUGUUAAAAGAAUGAAUAAAACAUUACCUCCCCUGGUAACCUACCUCCAAUGUCUCUGGGCAGAAUCUGUCCUUUUUCUAUUGCAUUCCUAAAACACAUCAUUCUGAUCACUGUUAUCAUAUGAUGUCAUCAUAUUGUAUUAUAAAUCAUUGAAUCUUUGCCUGUAAAUCAGGCUCAGCUCACAUUUUUAUCCCUUGCUCCUUAGCAAGGUUGGGGCAUGCAGUGGGUACUCAAUACAUGCUGUUGAACUCAGAUGAAUGAAUUCUGACGAGGUCUCCCUGUCUUGCAGUACUGCCUUGGCAUGUCCUUGUGUUAAGAAGUAAAGACCUUGACAGUCUGUAAAAAGACAACUAAAUAAUUAGGUGACAAUACAUGUGCCCAGGUAAAAUCUACAGUCAUUAAUAUGGGGUUAAAAUAGUGCACAAUAAAAAUAGUGUCUCAGAGUAAUAGUGAAGCCAUGAUAGUAAUGCCUUCUGGCACCUGCUUCUGGGGCUAUCCAUUAUGUCAUUAAGAAUCAGAGCAUCAAUCUGGCCCAGAGCCCUAUCCCUGAAUAAAUUAAAAUUUUUAAAAAGACCCUCCAGAAUUAGUAGAGAAUAAUAGUAAGCUAACCAACUAACUUUUCUCCAAGAAUGUUGUAGCUAAGCAUUACUACGCUUCCUUUCAACAGGCAGUGAGAAUUGAGUUACUCAUACUGUUCCCCUUGGCUGCCUUUAACUUAGGGGUUUGAUACAGAUUUUUUUCCUAACCUUCAACUUUUUUUCUCCUUUUAAAAUAUUUUUACAGCUUUAUGAUAUGUCUGCCUUUCAUUACAAGCCACCUCAAAUCCCUUUAGACAGUGGAGUUUCUAUUAUAAAUAAUAAUAAAAAAAUUUCCUCUGCCUCAAUUCCCUCUGUCCCAAGUGCUCAAUGCAUGAACAACAUAAACUGAGGCUUUAAGAAAUAGGAUUUCAGCCCUUUGAGAAAGCUGUAUUACAAAUUGGUUCCACUUCAUAGCUUGGAAGAAAAUUGGAGUUUUCUUUGGAUGACAUCAAUGAUCAUAAUCUCUGACAUUUAACUGACCUUGGGCAUGUCAUUUUACCACUUCAAGUUUCAGUUUUCUUAUCUGCAAAGCAACAAUGCGGGUGGGUUCCUUCCCACCCCAGAACUGUAUCUAAUCAUCUUUUCCAGGAAGAUAGGGACAAAAAGACCACCCAGGCAGCACAGGGAAAGGAAUCUCCCCUUCUAUCUGGCCCCGUAACCCUACCUUCUGUCAGUUACUCUGCUGCAGAUAAAGGGUAGGGGAGUCAAUUCCCAGCCACAUACCACCCCAGGGCUGCUCUGCCAUUCAUAGCAGCUCCCCACCAUAAAGAAGCUGGAUGAUGAGCUGACCAAGCGUCCUGACUGGACUGCUGUUUAUGGCAUUGUGCUUUCAUUUGUGUGCCCAAGAGGCGACUAGCAAUAGGUUAACUUGGUGCUCCUACAAAGGAAAGUCUUUUGCUUUUCUUUCUCAACUAUAUCUUAGGUUUUAAUUAAUUAAAUUAAUAUGGGGCUUAAUAGCAGACAUGUUUUGGACCUUGGAGCCUGUUUACCCUCAUCUUACCCAAGGGGCACUGUGGACCCAGGCUAAGACGCUGCCAAAGAGUUUUCUGUGUCUAGGAGACAAAGCACACCCUGUAGCCUUCAGGAGUGCUGGGUUAUCCCAAGCCCACCAAAGAGCCUGCAAAGAGUGUGCUAGCAGGACUGGGAACAUUCGUCUCCUAGCUUUCUCUAAGAAGCAGGCACACUCUCCUCUUCACACUGUGGCCUAGGUCUGAUCAAAGGCGGUAGAGAAGGUAGCUUUCCCUUCCACAUCUGACCAACAAAAGCAGCCCCGGUGGGGGGAGACUGGAAGUGAGUAUCGCAGUGGUUCCUCAGCUUACCUUAUACCUUCCAGAUAAGUCAGUGAUACAUGCCACAGGGCUGACUGUAUUUUGAGGCCCUCCCAUAGCUCCAGAAGCCAGCCCAUUCUAUCAGGCUGUACUCGGGACAAAGGAGGCAGCCCCAGCCCAGGUACUUAAGUAGACACAGCAUUUGGCCUCAAGGUUAAGAGUACAGUCAGUGGUCCUAAACUGCCUUUUUUGUAGCUUGGUUAUGGUAACUUGAGUGCAAUUGUUUAACCUCUCCCUAUCUCAGUUUCUUCAUCAGAGAAAGGGGGCUGCUGUGAUAGUUGGUACGUACGGAGUAUAUGGAACAGUGCCUGGUAGGGAAUAAGUCCCGUAAAAGUUAAUCAUUUUAUAUACAUCAAAUAAGUCUGUUCUACCUCUUUUGUCCCCCCAGACGAAGCUCAUAGAAUGAUUCACAUUGAUAUUCAUGUUUAAGCCUUAAGCCUUUUUUGUUCUUCUAAGACUUCCUUUGGUGGUGUACAUUUUGAUUGUAUCUGCUGGAAUAACAAUGCUGAUGGUUGGUGGGGUUGGGAGGAAGGAUAGAGAGGGAGGGAGAAAUAACAUUAACUGCCUAAGAGAUUUCUCUGAAAGAGCACAUGAAUAUUGAAUGAUGACUUGAUUUUACCAACAAAACCCAUAAUUAUUGCUUUGCAUCAAGGGUGAGGUUGACUUAAAUCAUCAAGACUUGAGAAUGAACUCAUAAUCAGAAAACGUGGACUAUUAAGUUUUGUUUGCUUGCUUGUUUUUGCAUAUAUCUAACCCAAAUCUUGUGUUAUUUCAAAUGGUGCUAUAUUUGCCUAUGCUUGUAAAUUGAAUAACAUCAAUAUGCAAAACUGAUGCAUUUUUCUUUUUAGGGAGAACAUAAUCUCCCAAAGCCACUCCAUUGGUGAUGUGACUUGAUUUUUUUCUGAAUCAAGAAAUUUGGAUAAACUUGGUGAUUCAGAAGGAUUGAUUACUACAGAUAACCCACUUAUGCUUAACUAGGUCUUGAACCAUGAAUGCAUGAACUUUAAUUUGCAAGCCUCUUUCUCCACAGCUAGCCAUGGUUAGAGAGAGAUGUUAUGGAGGAAGGACGAGUAAAACUCCAAGUUAUUAAGGAGGAAAAAGAGGCUGCUUAGUUGAUUAAUCAUUGUAGAAGCCUCCAUCACAUUCAGCCUGGGAGAUUUCAUUCAUUCACACAAACGCCUGCCACUUUCUACACCCAGGAGUUGUAUCAUCCACCAGGCACACUAGAAAUGUGGUUAGUGCUACCAAGGACCUAAUGUUUUAAUCUGGUUUAAUUUUAAUUAAUUUAAAUUCAAAUAGCACAUGUGGCUAGUGGCUACUGUAUUGCACAGUACAGGCAUAAGAACAUUUCUACUCAAAUCUUCAUGAUGAUACGAUGGGCUUUAACAAACCCUUGAUAAUAAAAGGCAAAAGCUGCAAAUGUUAUAGGUCAAUAUUCUCUCCACAAAUCUUUAUUUUUAAGUUUUAAAAAUAUAACCCAAAUGUUUGUGUUCCCUCAACCUCUUCUUCAAGGUCCUAAGAAACAUUGAGGAAAGAGAUAAUCGUAGGAUAGAAUUUUUCUUUUCUUUUCAAGUACCUACAAUUCUCAGAUGUUAGACUGACUUCUUCCAUAACUGACUUUUAAAUCAAAGUAUCCAAAAAUGAAUAUGCAAAUACAUUGUCAAUGAUUUCAAUUCAGGAAGAAGCUGCUCCAAGAUCUCAUUAUUCUGAAUGACAUGGAAGAAUCACGUACACAUUGCCCAUUUCCUAUCUCAUUAUUUUCUGGUGUAGAACUGCAAAUCCCAUUAGCAGAUUUUCCUUCAGCCCCCUGAACAAUCUGUGAGUGACUCACACUUUAGAACAUCUUUGCUGCUGGAUUACUUUGAAAGGCAGAAGUUGGGACGGUGUCAGGGAUAGGCUGAAGAUGAGAGGAAUACCUAACACGUGCCUUGUUUGCAAAUUUUCAUUUCAGUCAUUUAAAAAGUAAUUAAGGAAAGAGGAUCUUGAUAAGAUAGAAUUCAACUCCCCUCUUUUAAUGGAUUCAGGGAAUGAGGAAACAUAAAGAUAAUCCAUCAUCGCAUUACUGCCAUCACCAGAGUUGUCUGUUUCAAAGAGCCUCUUUCCUUCACCAGGAGGACACAGAGCUUCGUGUGCUCAUUUGGGUGUCAAGAAAUAAUAAAAUGAUAAAUCUGCAGACUUGGAAACAGCAGCUCUCAGAUCAGAGCUGAAAAUGUCUGCUCUGUGUUCUGUGGGUCUUUGCUUCUUGUGAGUCCAGACACCUGUCACAAAACUAUGUGGCUGUGGGUGGCCCUAUUUGUAGGAUUUCUAAGCCAUCUGACCCUAGAUAAACCUUGGUGCUUUUUAAGAGCCAGCUUAGGUGCUGGACCAAAUGGUGAAAAAUUGCUUCCUGACUAAUUGAUGAGCCAGGGUGCUUUGAUGUUACAAGUGUGGUUGGAGCCUAAUGCAGCCAUAUCAUGAGGAACACUGUGUCAUCAGCGGGAUGUGGAAAACCACUCCUCAACUGCUUACCAAGAGGCAAACCGUCAAUAAUGAGAUGGUUUGGAAGCUGAGGUUAUGAGUCAUUCAUGUAGAUGCAGGUAGAGGCUGGUCCUAGGCCCCCAGCGACACUGAUAUAAAAGAAUUUAUAAGCAUGUAUUUUAGGACAAUUUUACAAAAUAACAGAAAAUAUCCAUUGAGUCCUUAGUGUGUUUUUCACACAUUAUCUUUAACCUCACCACACCAUUUUUGAUAGGUUCAAGUAUUUUUUUUCUCUUCCCCACAUGAAAGAAGCAUGACUUGGAGAGGUUAAAAUUCCCACCCAAGAUCAUGCAUUUAAAAAGUGAGAAAACCAAUAUUCAAAUUUAGGUCUUUCUGACCCCAGAGCCUGUGAUUUUUCUGUUUCACUAAGGCCAGUUGCAGAGAUAUGCUUGUCUCAGCUGUUUUCCAGUAUGAUGUAUCUGAAGGACAAGAGGAAGAAUUUCAAAAAAGUCUCCAAUUUUCUUGCCUUAGAGCAUCUACCGAAAGAAAAAAAAAAAUGAGAGAGAACCCAAAGUCAAAGAUAAGAGCCCUGGAAGAAUCUGCUCUGAAGAAUGGCCUUGGGGCCAACUCAGUAUUUACUCAAUUCAUAAAGGAACUGAGCUGGAGUCCUCAUUAGUUGGGUGUGUCCUUGGUAAACCAAUUAUUAAACCCUGGUAUGAGGGAUGAAAUGGCUUUGUGUUUAGUUUUUGGCUUUAUCAAUUUCUGAUGACUAUCCACAAAAAUUAUAAAUACAUAAACAUUUUUCUACAGCGAUUCUUCUUUCAGAAAAGUAACCUACAGAUAUACUUGUAUAUGUACUAAAGGAUGAAUGUACAAGGUUGUUCCUUGGAGCGUUUUGUAGUAAAAAAUAGGAAACAACCCAAGUUUUUAUCAAUAGAGAACUGAUUCAAUAAAUUAUAGAACAUCCAUACAAGAGAAUACUAUAAACUAUAAAGAAGAAUGAGAAAGCUUCCUAUAAAAUGAUACAGAAAGAGCUCUAGGAUAUAUAGUUAAUUGAAAAAAGGAAGGUAUUAAACAUUGUUUAUAACAUGGUAACUUUUGUGUAAAAGAAGUAAGAAGAAAAGAAGCUCAUGCUUCCUGAUAGAACAUAAAGAGACUAUGGAAGAAACUAAGAAUAGUGGUUACCAUGGCGCUGGAAAGAAAGAGCAUGGCAGAUGAGGGACAAGGAUGGUAUGGAGUGUUUUACCCGUUUUGGAUUUUCAAACAUGCAAAUAGUAUUCAAGGAAUAAAUCAAAAGAUGAAAAUGACAAGUCCUAUGCUAAAAGAUACAUUCUCUGAGAACAUAUUCACAAUAGGGCUGUGCUUUUUUUCUCUGAUGAAGAACACCAGACUCUUAAGCCAAUGGCCAGGGUCGAAAUGCUUACUUUGCCACUUCCUAACGGUGUUAAAUUUUCUGAGUCUCAGUUUUCUCAUUUUAAAUAAAAAAGAAGAAAUAACAUC
rnacentral:lncRNA from 10 species